UAUACCGUGAAACUGCGAAUGGCUCAUUAAAUCAGUUAUCGUUUAUUUGAUAGUACCUUACUACUUGGACAACCGUGGUAAUUCUAGAGCUAAUACAUGCUGACAACCUCGACUUACGAAGGGGUGUAUUUAUUAGAUAAAAAACCAACGCCCUUCGGGGCUUCUUGGUGAUUCAUAAUAACUUUACGGAUCGCAUGGCCUUGCGCUAGCGACGGUUCAUUCAAAUUUCUGCCCUAUCAACUUUCGAUGGUAAGGUAUUGGCUUACCAUGGUUUCAACGGGUAACGGGGAAUUAGGGUUCGAUUCCGGAGAGGGAGCCUGAGAAACGGCUACCACAUCCAAGGAAGGCAGCAGGCGCGCAAAUUACCCAAUCCCAAUACGGGGAGGUAGUGACAAUAAAUACUGAUACAGGGCUCUUUUGGGUCUUGUAAUUGGAAUGAGUACAAUUUAAACCUCUUAACGAGGAACAAUUGGAGGGCAAGUCUGGUGCCAGCAGCCGCGGUAAUUCCAGCUCCAAUAGCGUAUAUUAAAGUUGUUGCAGUUAAAAAGCUCGUAGUUGAACCUUGGGUCUGGCUGGCAGGUCCGCCUCACCGCGUGUACUUGUCCGGCCGGGCCUUCCUUCUGGAGAACCUCAUGCCCUUCACUGGGCGUGUUGGGGACCAGGACUUUUACUUUGAAAAAAUUAGAGUGUUCAAAGCAGGCCUUUGCUCGAAUACGUUAGCAUGGAAUAAUAGAAUAGGACGUGCGGUCCUAUUUUGUUGGUUUCUAGGACCGCCGUAAUGAUUAAUAGGGACAGUCGGGGGCAUCAGUAUUCAAUUGUCAGAGGUGAAAUUCUUGGAUUUAUUGAAGACUAACUACUGCGAAAGCAUUUGCCAAGGAUGUUUUCAUUAAUCAGUGAACGAAAGUUAGGGGAUCGAAGACGAUCAGAUACCGUCGUAGUCUUAACCGUAAACUAUGCCGACUAGGGAUCGGGCGAUGUUAUUUUUCUGACUCGCUCGGCACCUUACGAGAAAUCAAAGUUUUUGGG
rnacentral:rRNA from 1 species